rnacentral:rRNA from 1 species
GCCUACGGGACGCAGCAGUAGGGAAUCUUCCACAAUGGACGAAAGUCUGAUGGAGCAACGCCGCGUGAGUGGAGAAGGGUUUCGGCUCGUAAAGCUCUGUUGGUAGUGAAGAAAGAUAGAGGUAGUAACUGGCCUUUAUUUGACGGUAAUUACUUAGAAAGUCACGGCUAACUACGUGCCAGCAGCCGCGGUAAUACGUAGGUGGCAAGCGUUGUCCGGAUUUAUUGGGCGUAAAGCGAGUGCAGGCGGUUCAAUAAGUCUGAUGUGAAAGCCUUCGGGUCAACCCGGGGAUUGCAUCA